GGGGAAUAUUGUACAAUGGGGGAAACCCUGAUGCAGCGACGCCGCGUGGAGGAAGAAGGUCUUCGGAUUGUAAACUCCUGUUGUUGGGGAAGAUAAUGACGGUACUCAACAAGGAAGUGACGGCUAACUACGUGCCAGCAGCCGCGGUAAAACGUAGGUCACAAGCGUUGUCCGGAAUUACUGGGUGUAAAGGGAGCGCAGGCGGGAAGACAAGUUGGAAGUGAAAUCUAUGGGCUCAACCCAUAAACUGCUUUCAAAACUGUUUUUCUUGAGUAGUGCAGAGGUAGGCGGAAUUCCCGGUGUAGCGGUGGAAUGCGUAGAUAUCGGGAGGAACACCAGUGGCGAAGGCGGCCUACUGGGCACCAACUGACGCUGAGGCUCGAAAGUGUGGGUAGCAAACAGGAUUAGAUACCCUGGUAGUCCACACCGUAAACGAUGAUUACUAGGUGUUGGAGGAUUGACCCCUUCAGUGCCGCAGUUAACACAAUAAGUAAUCCACCUGGGGAGUACGACCGCAAGGUUGAAACUCAAAGGAAUUGACGGGGGCCCGCACAAGCAGUGGAGUAUGUGGUUUAAUUCGACGCAACGCGAAGAACCUUACCAAGUCUUGACAUCCCUUGACAGGCAUAGAAAUAUGUAAUCUCUUCGGAGCAAGGAGACAGGUGGUGCAUGGUUGUCGUCAGCUCGUGUCGUGAGAUGUUGGGUUAAGUCCCGCAACGAGCGCAACCCUUAUGGUCAGUUACUACGCAAGAGGACUCUGGCCAGACUGCCGUUGACAAAACGGAGGAAGGUGGGGAUGACGUCAAAUCAUCAUGCCCUUUAUGACUUGGGCUACACACGUACUACAAUGGCGUUAAACAAAGAGAAGCAAGACCGCGAGGUGGAGCAAAACUCAGAAACAACGUCCCAGUUCGGACUGCAGGCUGCAACUCGCCUGCACGAAGUCGGAAUUGCUAGUAAUCGUGGAUCAGCAUGCCACGGUGAAUACGUUCCCG
rnacentral:rRNA from 1 species